GCUCAGGAUGAACGCUGGCGGCGUGCUUAACACAUGCAAGUCGAACGAAGCACUUUUACAGAUUUCUUCGGAAUGAAGUUUUAGUGACUGAGUGGCGGACGGGUGAGUAACGCGUGGGUAACCUGCCUUACACUGGGGGAUAACAGUUAGAAAUGACUGCUAAUACCGCAUAAGCGCACAGGGCCGCAUGGUCUGGUGUGAAAAAUUCCGGUGGUGUAAGAUGGACCCGCGUCUGAUUAGGUAGUUGGUGGGGUAACGGCCCACCAAGCCGACGAUCAGUAGCCGACCUGAGAGGGUGACCGGCCACAUUGGGACUGAGACACGGCCCAAACUCCUACGGGAGGCAGCAGUA
rnacentral:rRNA from 1 species